rnacentral:miRNA from 1 species
UUUAUCUCUUUAGAAAGCCGUCUCCAAGCCACCCAUCAUGCACCUGUAAUUCCAGCACUGGGGAGGCUGAGGCAGGAGGAU